UACGAGAGGCCCAAACGUUGUUCGGAAUUACUGGGCUUAAAGAGUUCGUAGGCGGCGCAGAAAAGUAGGGUGUGAAAGCCCUCGGCUCAACCGAGGAAUUGCGCUCUAAACUACUGUGCUUGAGGAAGCUAGAGGUGAGCGGAACUGAUGGUGGAGCGGUGAAAUGCGCUGAUAUCAUCAGGAACACCGGAGGCGAAGGCGGCUCACUGGGGCUUUUCUGACGCUGAGGAACGAAAGCCAGGGGAGCGAACGGG
rnacentral:rRNA from 1 species